rnacentral:tRNA from 1 species
GGGUGAGCGCCAGCGUUGGAGGGCUGGGAUGGACUGUAAAUCCGUUGCUUUUAAAGCUUAGAAGGUUCGAAUCCUUCGUCACCCA